UAGCGUUGCUCGGAAUCACUGGGCGUAAAGCGCACGUAGGCGGACUCUUAAGUCAGGGGUGAAAUCCUGGAGCUCAACUCCAGAACUGCCUUUGAUACUGAGAGCCUUGAGUCCGGAAGAGGUAAGUGGAACUGCGAGUGUAGAGGUGAAAUUCGUAGAUAUUCGCAAGAACACCAGUGGCGAAGGCGGCUUACUGGUCCGGUACUGACGCUGAGGUGCGAAAGCGUGGGGAGCAAACA
rnacentral:rRNA from 1 species